CUCUGGUAUUGAUUGGUGCUUGCAUCAUGAUUUACAUUUGAGUGAGUGGCGAACUGGUGAGUAACACGUGGGAAACCUGCCCAGAAGCGGGGGAUAACACCUGGAAACAGAUGCUAAUACCGCAUAACAACUUGGACCGCAUGGUCCGAGCUUGAAAGAUGGCUUCGGCUAUCACUUUUGGAUGGUCCCGCGGCGUAUUAGCUAGAUGGUGGGGUAACGGCUCACCAUGGCAAUGAUACGUAGCCGACCUGAGAGGGUAAUCGGCCACAUUGGGACUGAGACACGGCCCAAACUCCUACGGGAGGCAGCAGUAGGGAAUCUUCCACAAUGGACGAAAGUCUGAUGGAGCAACGCCGCGUGAGUGAAGAAGGGUUUCGGCUCGUAAAACUCUGUUGUUAAAGAAGAACAUAUCUGAGAGUAACUGUUCAGGUAUUGACGGUAUUUAACCAGAAAGCCACGGCUAACUACGUGCCAGCAGCCGCGGUAAUACGUAGGUGGCAAGCGUUGUCCGGAUUUAUUGGGCGUAAAGCGAGCGCAGGCGGUUUUUUAAGUCUGAUGUGAAAGCCUUCGGCUCAACCGAAGAAGUGCAUCGGAAACUGGGAAACUUGAGUGCAGAAGAGGACAGUGGAACUCCAUGUGUAGCGGUGAAAUGCGUAGAUAUAUGGAAGAACACCAGUGGCGAAGGCGGCUGUCUGGUCUGUAACUGACGCUGAGGCUCGAAAGUAUGGGUAGCAAACAGGAUUAGAUACCCUGGUAGUCCAUACCGUAAACGAUGAAUGCUAAGUGUUGGAGGGUUUCCGCCCUUCAGUGCUGCAGCUAACGCAUUAAGCAUUCCGCCUGGGGAGUACGGCCGCAAGGCUGAAACUCAAAGGAAUUGACGGGGGCCCGCACAAGCGGUGGAGCAUGUGGUUUAAUUCGAAGCUACGCGAAGAACCUUACCAGGUCUUGACAUACUAUGCAAAUCUAAGAGAUUAGACGUUCCCUUCGGGGACAUGGAUACAGGUGGUGCAUGGUUGUCGUCAGCUCGUGUCGUGAGAUGUUGGGUUAAGUCCCGCAACGAGCGCAACCCUUAUUAUCAGUUGCCAGCAUUAAGUUGGGCACUCUGGUGAGACUGCCGGUGACAAACCGGAGGAAGGUGGGGAUGACGUCAAAUCAUCAUGCCCCUUAUGACCUGGGCUACACACGUGCUACAAUGGAUGGUACAACGAGUUGCGAACUCGCGAGAGUAAGCUAAUCUCUUAAAGCCAUUCUCAGUUCGGAUUGUAGGCUGCAACUCGCCUACAUGAAGUCGGAAUCGCUAGUAAUCGCGGAUCAGCAUGCCGCGGUGAAUACGUUCCCGGGCCUUGUACACACCGCCCGUCACACCAUGAGAGUUUGUAACACCCAAAGUCGGUGGGGUAACCUUU
rnacentral:rRNA from 1 species